UACGUAGGGUGCGAGCGUUAAUCGGAAUUACUGGGCGUAAAGCGUGCGCAGGCGGUUUCGUAAGCUGGAGGUGAAAUCCCCGGGCUUAACCUGGGAAUUGCGCUUGAAACUAGCGGGCUUGAGUGUGGCAGAGGGGGGUAGAAUUCCACGUGUAGCAGUGAAAUGCGUAGAGAUGUGGAGGAACACCGAUGGCGAAGGCAGCCCCCUGGGUCAACACUGACGCUCAUGCACGAAAGCGUGGGGAGCAAACAGG
rnacentral:rRNA from 1 species